rnacentral:rRNA from 1 species
AACAAACGCUGGCGGCGUGCCUAACACAUGCAAGUCGUACGAGAAAGGGUCUUCGGACCUGAGUAAAGUGGCGCACGGGUGAGUAACACGUGGAUAAUCUGCCCCUCAGUUGGGAAUAACUCAUCGAAAGGUGAGCUAAUACCGAAUAAUGCUGCACGGCUUCGGCCUUGUAGCCAAAGAUGGCCUCUGCUUGCAUGCUGUCGCUGAAGGAUGAGUCCGCGUACCAUUAGCUAGUUGGUAGGGUAAUGGCCUACCAAGGCGACGAUGGUUAGCUGGUCUGAGAGGAUGAUCAGCCACACUGGAACUGAGAUACGGUCCAGACUCCUACGGGAGGCAGCAGUGAGGAAUCUUGCGCAAUGGGGAAACCCUGACGCAGCAACGCCGCGUGAGUGAAGAAGGCCUUCGGGUCGUAAGACUCUGUCGGUGGAAGAAUAGCAUGGAGGUGAAUAGUCUUCAUGCUUGACGGUACCGACCG